rnacentral:tRNA from 1 species
GCCCUGGUAGCUCAGCAGGUAGAGCGCCCGGCUGUUAACCGGUAGGUCGUAGGUUCGAGUCCUACCCAGGGCG